AGUGAACGCUGGCGGUAGGCCUAACACAUGCAAGUCGAACGGCAGCACAGUAAGAGCUUGCUCUUACGGGUGGCGAGUGGCGGACGGGUGAGGAAUACAUCGGAAUCUACUUUUUCGUGGGGGAUAACGUAGGGAAACUUACGCUAAUACCGCAUACGACCUACGGGUGAAAGCAGGGGAUCUUCGGACCUUGCGCGAUUGAAUGAGCCGAUGUCGGAUUAGCUAGUUGGCGGGGUAAAGGCCCACCAAGGCGACGAUCCGUAGUUGGUCUGAGAGGAUGAUCAGCCACACUGGAACUGAGACACGGUCCAGACUCCUACGUGAGGCAGCAGUGGGGAAUAUUGGACAAUGGGCGCAAGCCUGAUCCAGCCAUACCGCGUGGGUGAAGAAGGCCUUCGGGUUGUAAAGCCCUUUUGUUGGGAAAGAAAAGCAGCAGGUUAAUACCCCGCUGUUCUGACGGUACCCAAAGAAUAAGCACCGGCUAACUUCGUG
rnacentral:rRNA from 1 species